AAAUUGAAGAGUUUGAUCAUGGCUCAGAUUGAACGCUGGCGGCAGGCCUAACACAUGCAAGUCGAACGGUAACAGGAAGAAGCUUGCUUCUUUGCUGACGAGUGGCGGACGGGUGAGUAAUGUCUGGGAAACUGCCUGAUGGAGGGGGAUAACUACUGGAAACGGUAGCUAAUACCGCAUAACGUCGCAAGACCAAAGAGGGGGACCUUAGGGCCUCUUGCCAUCGGAUGUGCCCAGAUGGGAUUAGCUAGUAGGUGGGGUAACGGCUCACCUAGGCGACGAUCCCUAGCUGGUCUGAGAGGAUGACCAGCCACACUGGAACUGAGACACGGUCCAGACUCCUACGGGAGGCAGCAGUGGGGAAUAUUGCACAAUGGGCGCAAGCCUGAUGCAGCCAUGCCGCGUGUAUGAAGAAGGCCUUCGGGUUGUAAAGUACUUUCAGCGGGGAGGAAGGGAGUAAAGUUAAUACCUUUGCUCAUUGACGUUACCCGCAGAAGAAGCACCGGCUAACUCCGUGCCAGCAGCCGCGGUAAUACGGAGGGUGCAAGCGUUAAUCGGAAUUACUGGGCGUAAAGCGCACGCAGGCGGUUUGUUAAGUCAGAUGUGAAAUCCCCGGGCUCAACCUGGGAACUGCAUCUGAUACUGGCAAGCUUGAGUCUCGUAGAGGGGGGUAGAAUUCCAGGUGUAGCGGUGAAAUGCGUAGAGAUCUGGAGGAAUACCGGUGGCGAAGGCGGCCCCCUGGACGAAGACUGACGCUCAGGUGCGAAAGCGUGGGGAGCAAACAGGAUUAGAUACCCUGGUAGUCCACGCCGUAAACGAUGUCGACUUGGAGGUUGUGCCCUUGAGGCGUGGCUUCCGGAGCUAACGCGUUAAGUCGACCGCCUGGGGAGUACGGCCGCAAGGUUAAAACUCAAAUGAAUUGACGGGGGCCCGCACAAGCGGUGGAGCAUGUGGUUUAAUUCGAUGCAACGCGAAGAACCUUACCUGGUCUUGACAUCCACAGAACUUUCCAGAGAUGGAUUGGUGCCUUCGGGAACUGUGAGACAGGUGCUGCAUGGCUGUCGUCAGCUCGUGUUGUGAAAUGUUGGGUUAAGUCCCGCAACGAGCGCAACCCUUAUCCUUUGUUGCCAGCGGUCCGGCCGGGAACUCAAAGGAGACUGCCAGUGAUAAACUGGAGGAAGGUGGGGAUGACGUCAAGUCAUCAUGGCCCUUACGACCAGGGCUACACACGUGCUACAAUGGCGCAUACAAAGAGAAGCGACCUCGCGAGAGCAAGCGGACCUCAUAAAGUGCGUCGUAGUCCGGAUUGGAGUCUGCAACUCGACUCCAUGAAGUCGGAAUCGCUAGUAAUCGUGGAUCAGAAUGCCACGGUGAAUACGUUCCCGGGCCUUGUACACACCGCCCGUCACACCAUGGGAGUGGGUUGCAAAAGAAGUAGGUAGCUUAACCUUCGGGAGGGCGCUUACCACUUUGUGAUUCAUGACUGGGGUGAAGUCGUAACAAGGUAACCGUAGGGGAACCUGCGGUUGGAUCACCUCCUUACCUUAAAGAAGC
rnacentral:rRNA from 1 species